GACACGCAUGACACACUGCAUAUCAAUAAGCGGAGGAAAAGAAACUAACUAGGAUUCCCUCAGUAACGGCGAGUGAAGCGGGAAGAGCUCAAAUUUGAAAUCUUCAAGGUUCUACCUUGACGAAUUGUAGUUUAAAGAAGUGUUUUCUGUUGGAGUUUUGGUAAAAGUUCUUUGGAAUAGGACAUCAUAGAGGGUGAGAAUCCCGUAUUUGACCAUUAUUUCCAACUUUGUGAUACACUUUCAAAGAGUCGGAUUGUUUGGGAAUGCAGUCCAAAAUGGGUGGUAAAUUUCAUCUAAAGCUAAAUACUGGCGAGAGACCGAUAGCGAACAAGUACCGUGAGGGAAAGAUGAAAAGAACUUUGAAAAGAGAGUUAAACAGUACGUGAAAUUGUCAAAAGGGAAGCGUUUGACACCAGUGUUGUUUUCUCGAAAAUCAAUUAAAAAUGAUGGGAUGUUGUGUUGUAUUGACUUUAUCAGCUUUCUGCACUUUUUUCUUGUCUUUUUUAAUGCACUUUUCGGUUAACAAGUCAACAUCAAUUUCUUUUGUUGUAAAAGAGUCAUGAGGAAGGUGGCUUUCAUUUCGGAGAAAGUGUUUAUAGCCUUGUGCCUCUGCAAUCGGAGAGAUUGAGGUCUGCAGCGUAGAUCCUUCGGGGUUAGAUACAUUUGUGCUAAGUUAUAGCUUUUCAUAGACAACUUGUUGACUAUGUUUAGUCUUGUAGCUUACUCGCAGACGCUAUUUUACCUACGCUUAGGAUGUUGAAGACUCUACAGAGAUA
rnacentral:rRNA from 1 species